CUAUGCGCCUUGCCAGCCCGCUCAGGUGUGCCAGCCGCCGCGGUAAUACAGAGGUCUCAAGCGUUGUUCGGAAUCACUGGGCGUAAAGCGUGCGUAGGCGGUUUCGUAAGUCGUGUGUGUAAGGCGGGGGCUCAACCCCCGGACUGCACAUGAUGCUGCGAGACUAGAGUAAUGGAGGGGGAACCGGAAUUCUCGGUGUAGCAGUGAAAUGCGUAGAUAUCGAGAGGAACACUCGUGGCGAAGGCGGGUUCCUGGACAUUAACUGACGCUGAGGCACGAAGGCCAGGGGAGCGAAAGGG
rnacentral:rRNA from 1 species